CCCAGACUCCUACGGGAGGCAGCAGUGAGGAAUAUUGGUCAAUGGGCGGGAGCCUGAACCAGCCAAGUCGCGUGAGGGAUGACGGCCCUAUGGGUUGUAAACCUCUUUUGCCGGGGAGCAAAGUGCCGCACGUGUGCGGUUUGGAGAGUACCCGGAGAAAAAGCAUCGGCUAACUACGUGCCGGCAGCCGCGGUAAUACGUAGGGAGCAAGCGUUAUCCGGAAUUAUUGGGUGUAAAGGGUGCGUAGACGGGAUAACAAGUUGGUUGUGAAACCCCUCGGCUCAACUGAGGAACUGCAACCAAAACUAUUAUUCUUGAGUGCAGGAGAGGAAAGUGGAAUUCCUAGUGUAGCGGUGAAAUGCGUAGAUAUUAGGAAGAACACCGGUGGCGAAGGCGACUUUCUGGACUGUAACUGACGUUGAGGCACGAAAGUGUGGGGAGCAAACAGGAUUAGAUACCCCCGUACAC
rnacentral:rRNA from 1 species